UGAGGAAUUUUGGUCAAUGGACGCAAGUCUGAACCAGCCAAGCAGCGUGCAGGAUGACGGCCCUAUGGGUUGUAACCUGCUUUUAUAUGGGGAUAAAGUGGGGAACGUGUUCCCUUUUGCAGGUACCAUAUGAAUAAGGACCGGCUAAUUCCGUGCCAGCAGCCGCGGUAAUACGGAAGGUUCGGGCGUUAUCCGGAUUUAUUGGGUUUAAAGGGAGCGUAGGCCGUUUGGUAAGCGUGUUGUGAAAUGUAGGAGCUCAACUUCUAGAUUGCAGCGCGAACUGUCAGACUUGAGUGCGCACAACGUAGGCGGAAUUCAUGGUGUAGCGGUGAAAUGCUUAGAUAUCAUGAAGAACUCCGAUUGCGAAGGCAGCUUACGGGAGCGCAACUGACGCUGAAGCUCGAAGGUGCGGGUAUCGAACAGG
rnacentral:rRNA from 1 species